rnacentral:rRNA from 1 species
UACAGAGGGGGCAAGCGUUGUUCGGAAUUACUGGGCGUAAAGGGCGCGUAGGCGGCCUUCUAAGUCGAACGUGAAAUCCCCGGGCUCAACCCGGGAACUGCGUCCGAUACUGGAAGGCUUGAAUCCGGGAGAGGGAUGCGGAAUUCCAGGUGUAGCGGUGAAAUGCAUAGAUAUCUGGAGGAACACCGGUGGCGAAGGCGGCAAUCCUGGACCGGUAUUGACGCUGAGGCGCGAAAGCCAGGGGAGCAAAGCGGG